rnacentral:lncRNA from 1 species
UCAAUGGCGAACUUCAACAUGAAUACAAUGACUUCCUUCUCUCACUUGCUUGGUUCCUCAACCAAAAUUCCGAUGUUAAUUCCAGAAUACUAUGAUCAGUGGGCUGAUAGAAUGGAAGAUUACUUAAAUGGAAUUGAUGAAGAACUUUGGAAUUGUAUCGAUGGAACAGUGCAAGCUCCUGCUAAUGUUCAACCAAUUGGACCAUCUACUGCAUCUGCUGAAGUUGCUGAUCAACAAAAACGGUUGAAGAAUAAUGAAAAGAGGUGCAUGAGGGAACUAAGAGGUGCUCUUCCUCCUGUGGUUUAUAAUUACAUUCGUAGUUGUAAAACAACAAAGGAGAUCUGGAACACUCUAAAAGAGAAGUAUCAAGGUAGCGAAAAGACGAAGAUCAACUCUGUGAAGCAAUGUCUAGUUGAACUGAAGGAAUUCAGACAAAAGGAUGCUGAAACUCUUGAAAAUUACUAUGAUCGUCUGAAUGAGCUUAUGUUUCGCUGCAAUAGGUAUGGAAUCACUAGGUCUCUCAUGGAGUUCAAUUU